rnacentral:rRNA from 1 species
AGAGCGAACGCUGGCGGCAGGCUUAACACAUGCAAGUCGAGCGCCCCGCAAGGGGAGCGGCAGACGGGAGAGUAACACGUGGGAACGUACCUUUCGGUUCGGAACAACCCAGGGAAACUUGGGCUAAUACCGGAUACGUCCGUAAGGAGAAAGAUUUAUCGCCGAAAGAUCGGCCCGCGUCUGAUUAGCUAGUUGGUGAGGUAACGGCUCACCAAGGCGACGAUCAGUAGCUGGUCUGAGAGGAUGAUCAGCCUCACUGGGACUGAGACACGGCCCAGACUCCUACGGGAGGCAGCAGUGGGGAAUAUUGCGCAAUGGGCGAAAGCCUGACGCAGCGACGCCGCGUGGGGGAUGAAGGCCUUCGGUUGUAAACCCUUUCAGCAGGGACGAAGCGAAAGUAGACGGUACCUGCAGAAGAAGACGCCGGCUAACUACGUGCCAGCAGCCGC